GACGAACGCUGGCGGCGUGCUUAACACAUGCAAGUCGAACGGUGAAGCGCCUUCCUUUUUGGUGGGUGUGGAUGAGUGGCGAACGGGUGAGUAACACGUGAGUAACCUGCCCCCUUCUUCUGGAUAACCGCAUGAAAGUGUGGCUAAUACGGGAUAUUCUGGGUCUGUCGCAUGAUGGGUCUGGGGAAGAUUUUGUUUCGGAGGGGGAUCGGCUCGUGGCCGCUUAGCUUGUUGGUGGGGUGAUGGCAUACCAAGGCGACGGUGGGUAGCUGGCCGGAUGGGAUGAUCAGCGGUACUGCAGGGGCGGCACGACGGAGAAGACUCCGGCAGGCAGCAGUGGGGGAGAUUAUAGAAUGGGGGGAGGAAGGAUGCUGCAGCGCCGCGGCGGGGGAGAUGGCGUCCGUCGGGUUGUGAACUUCUGUCGCGAGUGAAGCAGGGCUGCCUAGUUUGUGGGUGGGUUGACGGUAGCUAGAGAAGAAGCGCCGGCUAACUACGUG
rnacentral:rRNA from 1 species